rnacentral:lncRNA from 10 species
AAAUGACUUGCCCAAGGUUGUAAAGGAUAGUGGGGUAGAGCUGGGACCAGGGGUUGUUCUCCUGGAUCAGGGAUUACCUUACCACACACACUGUGCUGUGGAACUUAGUGGAGGCAACUACAGAAGUGUGGCUGGGGUUGGGGAUAAAUCCUGCCCCUCUUGGAAGGGGAUGGCUGGAUACCUGGAGCCACCUGCACCUUUGCAAGCCCCCUAAAGUCAGAGGUCUGAGCUGGAGGAACAAUGGAGAAUGUCUCAUCCUGCCUUCCCCAUCCUGGGAGGAAUACACAUGAGCCGGGGCAGGAAAAGAUGCUGGGAGCAAGGCAGGUUUUACAAAGGUCAGUGGAUUCAAUGUGGGUAACUUACAGUCAACUUUUCUGUUUUAAGCAAACACAUAUCAGGGAAAAUUGUGCAGAAUCUACUUGAAUGAUGAAUGAAGUUGUCUACUGCCUCCUUCUCCUGGUGCUCUGAGAACCCAGUGCUACCCUCCUCUAUCCCGAGAGGACAUUAAUUGUUAUGGACUGAAAGUUUGUGUCUCCCCCAAAUUCAUAUGUUGAAAUCCUAACCCUCAAUAUGAGAGUAUUUGGAGAUGGAGUCUUUGGGAAGCAAUCAGAGUUAGAUGAGGUCAUGAGGGUAGAGGAGGUGACAUGGGAUCUUUCUCUCUGCUCUCCUCCAUAGGAGGACACAAGGAGAAAGCAGCCAUCUGCAGACUAGGAGGCAGACCCUGACCAGACACCAGAUCUGUUGGCACCUUGAUCUUGAACUUCCCAGCCUCCAGAACUACAGGAAAUAAAUGUUUAUUGUCUAAACUACCCAAUUCUGUAUUUUUGUUAUAGCAGCCUGAGCUCUGACGUUAAUCUUGCACAACCUCUCCAUUUUACAAAUAAGUAGACUGAAAUCCAGAGAGGGCAAGUAACCUUUUCAAGACACACAAGAACCAAGACUUUCUGCUGAAUCAUGAUCGGCUCCUGUCCCACACCUGUUGCAAAGGCUCGGGAAAUUCUCCACCCUUAUGCAGCUAGGCUAGAGCCACUCCACACAUCUUCCAAGGCGCUGGAAUGCUCACAGUCAGGAGGAUUUGAAAGAUUUCCUGUUUUUAAAAAGCUGAAAUCGAAAAGUGCUGUCAUUUUCUUUAAAUACAUUCUUUUGAAUAAAACAUCUAUUCUUGAUGCCAGCAGCAAGCUUCGAAACAUGUUCAAGAUGACAUGAUUGAUAACAAGAAGGCUUUUUCAAGAUGUUUCUAAUUUCAUCUUCCUGGUUAAAGAAUGCGAACUUUCUAACAUGAUGUAUGGCCUAAUAAGAGGUGCGCGUGAACCGAAGUUAUUUAUUUAUGCUUCCAUUUUUGACAGAUGAAUAUUAACUACUGGGAAAAUUGUAAAGCCAAUUAGUAAAAGCCGAAUAAUGUCCAUAUGAGAAUGUAUGACUAGAAACACACAUUACUUCUCAUCCAAACAACAGAGCUUCCUCUGGGAAGCUGUGGCCAGGCCAGGCCAUGGUGGCUUCUUUCCCUCGCAGGUGCCCCCAGGUUGGCCUUGAUGAAGUCCAAUUCCAGAACAGAUUCUGGAAUCCCCAAGGGAGAGUGGUUCUUGCCACUCCAUAUGUGGGACAUACAUAAAACGUGCAUUUCUGCCAAUCCUGUCGGCUUUCUCCAGCUACCCAGCUGGCAGACCUCCAGGACUGAGGGAAGCUAAGGAAGAAAUGGGAGACGCAGAACUCUAAAGACGGCCUGCACUGGCUCCAUUCUCUUCUGCGUCUUAGGGGCAGUCUGUUGUAGGGGAAUCAGGGGUAACAAACCUCCCAAUCCCUCACCCCCUCAUCUCCUAGAGCUUGUCUUGCUCUUAAUGCUGAUACAGCUCCCAGGAGCUGGAUAAAGCCACAAACAAAAGCCAAUUUGGAAGCAAGUCACACAUUCAAAAAUAUUUCUUGAACGCCUACUGUGUGCCAGGCAACCAGAAAUGCAAAACAGACACACUCCCUGCUCUCAUGGGGCUUCCAUGCCAGAGGGCAAUGUAGCAGGGCCCCUGUGGGGACCCAGGAGAAGGCUGACACCCUGAGACACUGCUGGAUGCCCCUGUACCCGUUGGCCUCAUCACUGAAGCCGAGAAAGGGAAGCGAAGGGGCUGACAGCAGCUUCCAAAAUUAACAAGAGGUUAAUUUACCCAACACAUGCUGCAAAUGUUGUAUUAUGCUUCUAGAAAUGAAACAAACAACCUGAGAUUUCACUUGGAGGCUGUGAAUUAUUCUUUCCCCCAGCACCCUGGGCACCAAUCUGUCACCUUGGAUUUUUUAGCCCAUUGCUAAUUUUUAAUAACUUCUUGACAACUGCUUGCUUCAUAUUACAACAAUGCUACCACUGUGCAAUUUAAGAAAGUAAUAAAUGUUCUUUAAAGUAUAGAAGGCACUCCUCCCAAUACCCUACACCCACUCCCCACCCUGCAUAUUUAGCCAAUGAUCAGAUCUGCCUAAAAACCAAACUGUAAGUUUUUCCCAUUACAAAUAAUUUGCUUUUAAAAGAAAAGGCCCCUUUCCAACUGAAACUCCCAAGUACAAUAAAAAACCUAGAAGGGCUCCUAUUUUCUUCUGCCCCUUGACUCCCCUUGCCUCAUCUGUGAGCCUCGCUAAAGUGUGUGAUUGGAUUUUUCAUUAAAAGCCCCCCUCCCACUUUCUGAAGAAUCCAAGAAGCAGCAGAAAUCAGAUCUAGCGUUGUAAAAUCCUAGCAUAUCUGAGUCGGGAGGAACCUUGGGGAUAUGCACUUUCUAACCCUCUGAUUUCCCAUUUUUUCAAAGGAGGAAACUGCCUAAGUCCACGCAGGCAUUAUGUCAGGGCCGGGACAGGAAGCCCAUUCUCUUGGCUGCUAGAUCGUUUCCACCUGACCAAUGCCACCUCACAUCUGGGUUUUCCCACCUCCUGGCCCCCAGUUAUCAUCCUGGGAUUUCACAUCCUAAAUAAACUGUGCAGAAUCUCCAAGAGCUCUUUGGGAAUCCAGGUGCAUGUGUGCAAUGAAUAACCUCAUCAAUUACAGAGGAGAUGGUCAUGU